UUCUCCAAAUCAGCAUUGAAUUUUCAGAUUUAGAUUCAGCCAAAUUGAAUCAGGGACAGUGAUCCGAAUCAACUAAUGGAAUCAUUGUCCCUGAUUUGGGCCGAAUCCGAAUCAAAUAUGGCCCGCUUCGCAUAACUCUAAUAAUUAGUUGUGUGUAGAGAUCUGAUUCCCUCUUCUCUGUCCUUAGCUUUUUCUCUUGAAUUCUGCAAUAGUCAGCUGAGCAAAUAGGAAUGGGAGGUGCAGACUAGGGUAUAUGGCUACAAAAUUCUAUUAAAGUCUGCAGAAAAUAUGAGUGUGAAUGCACUGUGUGUUGAAACAUUGCUUGAUGUCUCUAGAAGUCAGAUAUUGACUGCCAAGUAGCUCCUUUGAAAGGGCUGAGAGCAUCCUCCAUUUUUAUUUGUCACAGGUUUCAGGUCCUACAAAGUGUAUAAGAAGGUACCCUGUACCCAGAAGCCUGAAGUGUAAGCACCUGAGUCAGUGAGGUGGCAGGUGCUCCUCAAGAUGUGUGAUGAUGGUUUCACAUUGGAAUGGUCAUACCUUGAUAUCCCCUUAUUUUCAGGAAGACUCCUCAGAUGAUAAGAGAGUGCAUGGGAAUAUGAAUUGACAUGAGUGAUCAUAAAACAAGUAACUGUGAGAGGAAAAUUUUGGAAAUUUUUGUUUUAACAGACUUUGGGCCAGAUUUUCUUCUUUAUAUUUGAAUGCAAAGUCCUAUUUAAGAAGGGACUGAGAAGUCUUCAUGUGCUGAUCUCCCUACCACAGACCAUGUGGAAACAUGACCACAAAGUCCAGGAUAUUGAUACCGUCUCCCACAGCAUUCUCACAGGCAAGUCAUAAAGGUAUCAAUAUUCAUGGGAGUGCACUACGUAUCCACAUGCACCACUGGUGGACUGAAGCAGUCAUGGAACCUCGAUCUAGAUCAGAGAUGUUAACGGUCCAGCCUGUGGGCCAGAUCCAGCCUGUGGAGCCUUAUGGUGUGAUCCGUGAGUCUCAGAUCAACCUGGUGUGCUGCAUGUGGUGCAUGCCAAUCCCAGCCCCAUGUGCUGCACAGUUGUUACUGCACAGUCAUUUAGUACUUGCAUAACCAAGUACUACAUGACUGCACAGUAACUGAUGUUACUGCACAGUAGCAUCUCUGCAUGGCUUCCAGGUGACGCUGACUGCGCAGUAGCUUGUUACUACUACACAGUAGUGUUGCAUCACAGUUCAUGCCCCAUGACGCUGCUGCGCAGUACUAAUGGGUACUACUAGUAAUUAGCUACUGUGCAGUAAGUGUUUCAUGUAGAUGCGACCAUUGACUAUUUAAUGUGGCAGAGACACAGUGGAAAAGAGGCAAAAUAAAGCAGAGGUAUUCAUUCUAAAGGGGAAUACCUGGUAGCAUGGAAUUCACUUUGUAUAGGGUUUAUUCUGACAUGGGUAGAAUGGAGAAUGGGCUGCAUAUAUUCAGUGUAUUCAGGUAUAAAAAUCUGAUGUAAAGUAUCAGAUAAGUGCACACAAAGGUCUUCAUCAAAAACAUGUAGGUGUUAGGUAACCUUGAAUCAACACAUCCAGGCAUGCUAUGUUAAAACACAAAAUAGCCAUUGCAGUUAAAAAAUGGAUAGUACUAAAACUGAUGGCUGUUUCUUUUCAUAUGAAGAGUUUAAUAACAGUACUAUAAAUAACUAAGGAUUUUUAGCUGUGUUAAGAUCUUGUCUAGUUUGAGAAACAAGAACUCCAAGAGAAUCAUAUUUUUUAUAUUACAGUAAAAAUGGUGUGGGUAGCGCUGCAGGCAUUUGUGUUGAAUUACAGGGCUUUUAAGUGCAUGAUAUAAUAAGAAGUAAAAAUGAUCCCAGACCUAACAACACUAGCUAGACUCAGCUUCUGAGUAUAACCAGUUAAUAUCUUAGGCGAGUUGCAAAUGAGUUGCAUUUAAAAUACAAUGACUCACUUGUCAUUCGAAUGAAAGGAUCCUAGCUUUCUGACAGAACACAUUCAGCAAGACAUUGUGACAUACUGUACCAAAGAGAUGAUUUAAGUCAUGGUACUGAUAAAGUGGUGAAUUCUGUGAGAGGCCUAGAUUUCUUAGGGUGAUAUCUUUUAUUGGACCAACUGUAUAGUGGAAUAGAGUUAGACAAGCUUUAAAAUGCAAGAGUUCUUCAGAAGAAUGUCUUGCAUUCAAAAGCUUGUCUAACUCGAUCACAAUCUAGUCAGGUCUGUUCAGAUGCCUGAUGAAUCCACUUGUACGGAGUCCUGCAACCAGCACAUCAAGACCUUCAACACAUACACUUAGGCAAGAGUAUGGAGGAGUAGAGCCUGUCCAAGACCUGCCAUCCUCCUUUAGACCAUUGAGACAAAAUCCAAAGGCCAGACUGAGUUCAGGCAUUCAGUGCCUCAAUAUUUGUAGCUUCUGCCAGAGAGCAACAGAUAACAACUGCUGCUGACUACCUAACAUUUCAGUAAGGAUGCAUUUCAGUCAGGGUGAUGUCCCUUAGCCUUUCUCCAACCAAAGAGUAUCCACAAAACAGUGGAGGCUAGGAUUUUGAGGUGCCCUGUGCUCACUUUAUUCUGAAGGUUGCAACAUUGUGGUAUUUUAUAGGAGCUACCCCACAAAAAAUAGCCCCACCACAUUGCUGCCAGGCCACUCAGUCAGGUGAAGUUUAUGGUCAUACCCAGGACCAAUGUAAACACAAUUUAAAUGCUGAAAAGUAAAAUAUUACAUUGUUACUGUGUAAAGUGCCUUAGUGGAAUCCUGGAGACUACUACAGCCCAUUUUCCAUGAUUGUCAAUUUGAAUAUUAAAACAAAGUUGAAUCAGU